rnacentral:lncRNA from 1 species
UGCCAUUCUCCAGUCUCAGCCUCCCAAGUAGUUGGAAUUACAGCAGCUUCCAAUCUUCAGAUUCAAACUGAGACAUCAGCUUUGCACAUUUUGGACUUGGCCUGCCUCCAUAAUUGUGCAAGCCAAUUCCUCGGUCAUCAUAAGGACUGCUGCUCAGAUAAACUUUAGUGGAAUGCAUUAAUCAUCACGCACAGCUGGCACAGGGCAGGCAUGAAGGAGGGGAGAAGGCCUUCUCAUCAUCCAGUAUCUGCUAUGUUCCAAGGCCCGUGGGCUUCUAUUCCUGUGUGGCUGGAAACUGGGGAAACCUGGCCUCUGGACGGCUCACAGUAA